rnacentral:lncRNA from 10 species
CUGGUUUCCUUGGUCAUGACAAAGCUCUGGGAAGAGUCUUAAGGGAUGAGAUUGCUGCAGCCACUUUACCUUCUUCGGGAAGCUGAAGCUCCUACACAGAUGAAGGAAGGGAGCACCCAUUAUAUUCCCAAUGCUGGAUAUUCAAAGACAAAAGAAGCAGGCCCUGCCCAUAGUGAGCUUUUCGUGGAGUUGGGGAGAUCAUCUACAAGGCACAUGGAGCAUUCAGGACAGUAUCGCAUGCUGUGCCCAGCAGUGGAGGUAAGCGAGGGUGCUGUGGUGGCCCCAGAGGGUGCCUUCUCCACACUGGGAGAGUCAGCAAAGGCUCCCUGCAGGUGUCACUCCUGAGUUGAAAUGUGAAGGAUCAGUGGGGGUGGCUAUGACUGAGGUCAGGUGGUAUGAGACUGGGGAAGAGUGACGAGAGGAGAGCAGUGACCCAGGAAGAAGGACUGAGGCCAGAGAAAGGCAGUGACCCAGGAAGAAGGACUGAGGCCAGAGAAAGUAGCAUAUUCAGGAAACUGGAAAGUGGCUGUGGGUGCCGGGUUGGGCUGGGGGAUGAGGUUGAUACUGGAGGGAGGUAACCAAGGGUGACACGAUCAGAUAUAUAAUCUCUUUAUGAAUUUAGGCAUUUUAUUUAUCUUCAUAUGAGCAAAACCCCAGGCUUUAUUAGAUAUUUUGGUAACCCAUGGCAAACUUCAAAAUCUUUCUGUAUUUCAGAGCUUCCACUAUGUAUCUUCCCCCUCUAGCUUUGUGUAAUGGUAAACUACACCUAGUACUGGAAGCAUGCAUGUUUAGCAGAAGUAUUUUAAUUUAGCAGAAGUAUUCUAAUUUAGACAGAGGCUGUAAGACAAAGACAUUAGGUACCUCUGGGCAUGCAGGCAGUGCCAUCCUUGCCUUGCAAAGCAGGGGAAUAGGCAAAGCGUGAACAUUUUCUUUUCUUUUCUUUUCUUUUAGAUGGAAUCUUGCUCUGUUGCCAGGCUGGAGUGCAGUGGUGCAAUCUCAGCUCACUGCAACCUCUGCCUCCUGGGUUCAAGCAAUUCUCCUGCCUCAGCCUCCUGAGUAGCUGGGACUACAGGUGCGUGCCACCAUACCCAGCUAUUUUUUUGUAUUUUUAGUAGAGAUAGGGUUUCACUAUGUUGGCCAGGAUGGUCUCGAUCUCUUGCCGUCGUGAUCUGCCCACCUCAGCCUCCCAAAGUGCUGUGAUUACAGGUGUGAGCCACCAUGCCCAGCCAGCAUGAACAUUUUCUAACCCUUCGCUGACCACUGUGAGUUGGGCAGAGCUCCAACAGAUUGGAGAAUGUGAAUAUCCUGAAGGCAUGAAUAUCCUCCAGCAACUAGAACAGUGGCCAGCACAAGUGCUCAAAAAUGAAGGAAAGACUGAAUGAAUGCAUGAUGGGCAAUGGAAAUUGAUAAGCAGUGCCACAGUCCAGUUCUGGGUGGGUCGCGAGGGGGCCCAGAGUGCAGAUGGAGAGAGAGUUUAUCGUUGAGGAGGGCAAUCCCCCUUCUGGCACUGUGAGCGGCAAGUGGACGUAAGUGUGGCUGCCCUUGGAGAAGGGCAGGCUCAGAAGUACCUAGGUGCUUUUUCAGAAGGUAUGUUCCUGGAUUCUCCUGAAGAUACUCCUAAUCCCCAUCAUGGUGGCUAAGAUCUGGAAUUGGCAUUUUAAACAAACUCUUUAGGUGAUUUUUGAGGCAUGCCACUGGUACAAGGAGGCAAGAAGAGGUUGGAAAUUAGAUGGUCUCAUGCCAAAGAGGUUCCUGCAUCAACCCCCUCAGACUUCCUCAUCUGGGAUCACUCUCCCUGCUCCCAUUGCCACAGCCCUUGUUCAUAUUUCCCUUGAGGCACCUCCUGCAGCUGAGCCUUUGUUAGAAGUUUUGCCUGCAUGUCCUUCUUCUGAAGGAUGCUGUGAGCUUGUGCAGGGCCCGGACGAUGGCUUAUCCUUUUUGUAUUAUUCACAGCACCUAAUAUCUGUUGUGAAAUUACUUAAAGGAAAUAUUCCCUAGCCUGAAUUUUGACAAUACAGAGUCCCUCCCAUUAUCUCAAGGAGUCUGAAAACAAAAUUACACCAUCAUUUCACUUUAAAGAAUUCCAUACUCACAAAACACAGCCAAUCAAAAUAUGAUUAAAUGUUCAACCUUAUAAUUUUUGCUUGUCAAAUUGACUAGAAUAAAAAUAAAAGGUUGAAGAGGGCAUGGAUAAAUUGGAACUAUCAGAAGGACUGUAAAUUCAUACAAAUUGUCUUGAAUGCACUUUGGCAAGAUAUGUCAAGAGCUUUAAAAAGAAUUAUAUGCUUUGACCCAGUAAUUCUACUUUAUGAAAUUUUCAUAAGGAAACAAUCAGGGUCAUUGCUAUUGGUAAACAGUCUAAAUUUAGCAAAAGGGGGAGUGGUUAAAUAAAUUAGUGAAUAGAAAAACAUGCUUUUUAUUAUAUAUACACUGAAUAAGGAUUUAGAAAAAUGCUAACAUCACAGUAUGUGGAAAUGAUAUGAUAUAGAGCAUAUAUAAUAUAAUUCCUAUUUUAUAACAAGAAGUAUACAUCUCUGAGUGGUGGAAUAUUUUCCUUACUUAAGUACCUACCUAAUAUAUGAGGUAUGCUUUCUCUAUAUUUUCCAAAUUUUCUGCAGUUAACAUGCAUUGCUAUAAUAAUAAAACAGCUAAUAAAAUAUAUGUACAAUUUAAAUGCAUCCAGCAAUGAACUGCUUUUAACAGUGCCACCCCUCCAACUUCCCAUGGAAUUAUUCCCGUACUGUGGUUCUAACAUCUUUGCCUAGCAUAUUACUCCCCUGCUCAGAAUUCCUCAAUGGCCCCCCAUACCUAAAGGAUAAACCAUACACUCCUUAGCAAGGCAUACUAGGGCCCUUUAUGAUUUGUCCUUGAGCCACCUGUCCAGACUAACUCCUGGCUACUCCUUCCAAUUUCCCUCCUUAUACACAUCAGAGAUACCAUCUAGAGUUCCUUGGUCAUACCUUGCUGUCUGUCUGCCUGACUUUGCAUGGCCUGAUUCCUUUGCCUAGAAUUCCUCUCCUCCUUCAUGACUUCUUCAUUCAGCUUUCAAGCCAUUUUCCUAAAAUUUGACUCUCAAAACUUUAAAAAGAUUUAAGCAUUGCUCGGUGCACUCAUUGCACCUUUUAAAAUGUGAUACAACUGUUCAUUUCCCUAUCUGUUUUUCAUAAGACUGGAAGCUGUUUGAAGGCUGGAAUUAACUUUGUGAUUGGCACAUGGAAGGCCACCAGUAAAAUAUGUGCUGAAUAAAAGAAUUAGCACACAAAUUACCCAGAUCUUUGCAAAUGCUGUGUGGGUUAUGCUUUGUAUUAUAAACGGGACCCCUGUGAUCAGCAGGUGGUGGCGGACAUCCAGCCAGCCCUCCUCUCACCAAACCAGGCUUGCUGAAAGGCCAGGAAAGCAAGCAGUGCUAGUUCACUAGUUCAGAAAAAAGUGUCUGGUGUCAUGGGAAGUGCUAUGAACUUACUGUGCCAGAACCAAAGGAGGAAUGAGCUGGAGAUACUACAAAACUGUGGUUUAUCAGCUCAAGCAAUGUGUGUGUGUGUGUGUGUGUGUGUGUGUGUGUGUGUGUAUGUGUGUGUGUGUGUGUGUGGGGUAUGGUGUGUUCAAUUAUGGAGCAAAGCACAUCUGUUUUGAUAAAGAAAUCCUAGGCUUCGCAGUCACUUCAGGUCCUAACCCCACUCUCAAAAUCACCCCUAGGUUCUAAGUGUUUCUGGAGAAUAUCUUAAGUUAAUUUCUGACCAUUCACAUUUUUAUUUUCCCUGACUUGGUUUACUGUUGUAUUUGACAAGUUUGUGAAAAGUGGUCAGUAUUCUAAAUGUGAGAUGUUUUCUGCAUGGGGAAUGCUAUGAGUAAACUUGUAAAACCUCACGCAAAUUUCUGAGGCCAAAUGUGUGUGAGCAGAGUCUUUGGCACAGUGCAACUGGAAAUUUUAAGACAAUGGGAAACACUUUCUUACUACUACUACUGGAAAAAGCUUCCAGGUCUCGCUCUUUAGUUUAGACAGAUAGCUUUAAGCAGGUUAAAGUUAAUUGUCAGCUCCUUGACUGCAGGGAUUGUGUCCUGAAGAGCUUGAAGGAAGAGAGCAAACUUUGGAUUUGGAGUCAGAAUGACUGGGUUCCAUUGCGAGGUACUGUCAUUAAUAACUGCAGGCACUGGGCAAGUCACUUAACCUCUUUGAGGCUCUUUCCUCAUUUUCUACAUGAGCAUAGUAAGCCUUAAAUCUGCCAUACAAGGUUGUUGGUGGGAUCAAAAUUUGACAUACUGUGAAAGUAUUUUGGACUCUAAAAACCAUCUUCCAAAUGUGUGUUAUUUAUCAUUCUUAAAUUCUUUUUAGGGGUUCCAGCAAAGAGCAUUGCCUGUUUGAGAAAAUGUCAUGUUCCAGAAAAUAUUGAUUCAAAAAAGACUGAUGGACCAUCUGAAUGAAUAUGGAAGAAGUUUAAUUUUAACAAAUGCACUCGUGCUGAAGAUGGAGGAGAAAGAAUUUCAGAAAUAGAGGUCACAUUAAAAACAUGCAGAAGCAUGAAAAUUGUUACCAUAUUUCAAUUGCAACUGUAUUUUCUCCCCCUCUAAGGAAACAAGGCCUUCUGUAUUUUUGUUGCAUCUUUGACUAUUUGGGUGUUCCGUCAUAUUGACCCCUUACAUGACAUAACAAAGAAGAAUAAUGUAUAUUAGUCUCCAUCACGGCCAUGAGGACUAGUAUAAUGGGACACUGCAAAUAUCCUUUGACCACUGAUUAACUUCUUUUCUUCCCUUACUUGCUUAAUUAAAUGUCUACUUAACUUUCAGUAAUCAUACUCCACUUAGAGAAAAACCUCCUCACAAUGUGAACACCCACGUUCAUAGCAGAGCUAAGAGGUGGAAGCAACCCACGUGUCCACUAAUGGAUAAAUGCAUAAGAUAAAUGUGGUAUAUACAUAUUGGAAUAUUAUUCAGCUUUAAUAAAGAAGGAAGUUCUGACACAUGGUACAACAUGAAUGAACCUUGAAGACAUUAUGCCAAACCAGGCACAACAAGACAAAUACUAUAUGAUUCCAUUUAUAUGAGGUAUCCAGAGUCGUCAAAUUCGUAGAAACAGAAAAUCGAACAGUGGUCAUCAGGGGCCAGGGUGCAGGAGAAAUCAGCAGUUGUCAUUUAAUGGAUAUAGAGCUUCAGUUUUGCAAGAUGAAAAAGUUGUGAACGUUGGUUGCACAACAAAGUGAAUAUAUUUAACACUACUGAAUUAUACACUUAGACAUGGUUAAAAUGGCAAUUUUAUGUUACAUAUUUUUACCAUAAUAAAAAAAAUUUAAAGCCUG